GUGAGGAAAAGUGGGCAAAAUGGCGGGAGGACGCGGCGCGUUGAUUGUGCUGGAAGGGAUGGACCGUGCCGGGAAGAGCACGCAGUGCCGGCGGCUGGUUCAGGCCCUGCAGGCCGCCGGGCACCGCGCCGAUCUCCUCCGCUUCCCGGGUAUGGGUCUCUGGGUGCGGGGGGCUCCGCUGAGAGGCGCGGCCGGACCGCCUACCUUUGGCCCGCUUGCUUACAGAGAGGACGACGGAGAUCGGGCAGCUGAUCAGUGCCUACCUGGCGAGGGAGAGGGAGCUGGAGGACCACGCCGUGCACCUGCUGUUCUCCGCCAACCGCUGGGAGCACGUGUAAAAGGCGGGAAGGGGACACGGGGGCUGGGGGAGCCUGGCUGUGGUGGUCACAGAUCGGGGGCUGCGGGCCCUGGGGCGGGCUGCGGUGUCCCAGCGAAGGGCCUCGCUCCUGAGGGAGGCUGUGCGGGUCGCGGCCUCCUGAAGGAGCGUGGCUGCGUGGCCACACGUGCGUCCCCAUUUCCCUUCCAGCCGUAAGUGAACUCCCCUCCUCUUGUGGGUGCUCGUGCUGAGUCCCGGCCAGCAGCUCCCUGUCUGCUGCCAGUUACAGAAGCCAGUGGAGUUAAUCAUUCACCCCCGCCACGCCUUCGCGUCACCACCUGGAUUCUGAAUCAUAGAAUCAUUAAGGUUGGAAAAGACCUCUGAGAUCACCAGGUCCAGUCCAGCCCACCCCACCAUGUCCACUGACUGGGUCCCUCAGUGCCGCACCUCCACUGCUCUGGAACACCUCCAAGGAUGGUGACUCCUCCGCCUCCCUGGGCAGCUGUGCAGUGCCUCACUGCUCUUUCUGAGAAGUUUUUCCCAAUAUCCAACCUUCUUUCAAUGCACCAUUGCUUCAUGGCAGCCCAAAGGGUCUGGACAGAUCACAACGUCACUGCGCCCGGGGCACAGCCUUUGGUGUAGUGAAAUGCAGCAGUAAAUGCUGUAAAUAAGGAUGCUUUUCUCUAUCAGAAGCAAUGUAUCACAAGCCUGCUGCAUCACUUAAGGAGGAUAGAAGACCAAGUUGUUUGUGUUCGGAUGUUGCUCUGAUCAGUGAUCCUGCCUGUGAGCUGUGGAGCUCCUCUGAGCAGUGUCCUGCACGUGCACCUGGGUGUGGGUGUUCUGAAAGGGUAUUUCCUUAAUGUCUUAGAAGACAGAGUACAAACAGUAAUUGAUCCGUGAUUGUUGUCACGGAUAACACUGACACUGCUCGUGAUCAUAAUUUGUGAUGAAAACAUUGAUGAAAGAGAAGCUCCAUCAAGGGAUCACGCUUGUGGUUGACAGAUAUGCCUUUUCUGGAGUGGCCUUCACAAGUGCCAAGGAGAACUUCUGCCUGGAGUGGUGCAAACAGACUGAUGCUGGGCUCCCAAAGCCAGAUUUGAUUCUGUUUCUUCAGCUGAGCCCAGAG